rnacentral:lncRNA from 1 species
AGAACUUUCUCGACUCCAUUUCAGCUGGGCUUUAGAAAUGAAAAUGGAGGAGGGGAUUCAAGAUGGCGCUGUGAGAACAACCCAGGAUUGGAGCCCGCGUUGAAUUCGCAAACGGUGAGUCAGUGCUGCAUUUCCAGACUGAUCUUUGUUGCCCACAGAACGGGGAAACUCCCAAGUAUAAAAAGACACGGGACGCCAGGCAGUAGGUCUGCCUGGCGAAGCCGGCAGCAGGGGCGGCGGCGGCCGGCCCUACCCAGCAAUCCCCACAGGGCGCGCUUGUCCGGGUGCCUUGUUGAACUGGCAACCUGAGACUUGAGAGGGCUGGACUUGAGACUGAACGAGACUUGCACAGUAGCCCAGCCCAGGGGAUUGCAGGGACAGAUCGCUUGGGAUACCCAGUGGGACGAACAAAACCGCGAUUUCAAACUAUCCCGGGCAGACGGUCCGAGACGCUCUGUGGGGGAGGGGCGUCCACCACUACGGAGGCAACCUGCCCCAACUGAUAUACACGCCCACUGCUGAGGCAGCCAGCCGUUGCCGAGGCAACCCGCCCCAACUGAGAUACACGCCCACUGCUGACACAGCCAGCCGUUGCUGAGGCAACACGCUACAACGAAGAGACUCCGCCGCAGGGCGUGGCGGAGACCACAGCAGAGCCAGCAGGAACAGCGCGAAUCACACAACAGCAGGGCGGAGCCUCGGCAGCCAAACAGUGGCUAGUCUGCCUUUGAGCUGGGCAGGACACCUGAUCGGACAUCCAAAAAUAAAGCCCAAACCCCUCAACACAGAGCAUUUGAGGAAAAAAAAAAAAGGAUUGUUUAAUGAGCUGUGUUGCAGCAGAAUCAAACAUAGCAGCCUAACAGCCCCGAAUGAACAACAGAGUGCACAGCUCAGCAAUUAAACCCCUAUAAAGUACAAACUGUCUCCUCAAGCAGCUCCCUGACCCCUCUAUAUCCAAAAGACUGUCAUUAGGCAGGCAUCAUCCUGGGACAAAGAGAGCAGAAAAAGAAACUGGUAGCAUCCCUCGCUGUGCCACGGCUACUAGAGGUGCACCCCAGACAAGCAGGGUCUGGAGCGGACCUCAACAGUCGUACAGCGAAGGGGCUAGACUGGUAGAAGGAAAACCAAGCAACAGAAAUACUUCAUCAUCAACGUUCUGGGUGUCCACUCAGAGACCCAAACGAAAAGUCAGCAACUACGCAGACGAC